rnacentral:rRNA from 1 species
UUACCCGCAGAAGAAGCACCGGCUAACUCCGUGCCAGCAGCCGCGGUAAUACGGAGGGUGCAAGCGUUAAUCGGAAUUAUUGGGCGUAAAGGGCUCGUAGGCGGUUGAUCGCGUCGGAAGUGGAAACUUGAUGCUUAACGUUGAGCGUGCUUUCGAUACGGGUUGACUUGAGGAAGGUAGGGGAGAAUGGAAUUCCUGGUGGAGCGGUGGAAUGCGCAGAUAUCAGGAGGAACACCAGUGGCGAAGGCGGUUCUCUGGACCUUUCCUGACGCUGAGGAGCGAAAGCGUGGGGAGCGAACAGGCUUAGAUACCCUGGUAGUCCACGCUGUAAACGGUGGGUACUAGGUGUGGGGUCCAUUCCACGGAUUCCGUGCCGUAGCUAACGCAUUAAGUACCCCGCCUGGGGAGUACGGCCGCAAGGCUAAAACUCAAAGGAAUUGACGGGGCCCCGCACAAGCGGCGGAGCAUGCGGAUUAAUUCGAUGCAACGCGAAGAACCUUACCUGGGUUUGACAUGGAUCGGGAGCUUCCAGAGAUGGUUGUGCCUCUUUUGGGGUCGGUUCACAGGUGGUGCAUGGCUGUCGUCAGCUCGUGUCGUGAGAUGUUGGGUUAAGUCCCGCAACGAGCGCAACCCUCGUCCACUGUUGCCAGCAAUUCGGUUGGGGACUCAGUGGAGACCGCCGGGGUCAACUCGGAGGAAGGUGGGGAUGACGUCAAGUCAUCAUGCCCCUUAUGUCCAGGGCUUCACGCAUGCUACAAUGGCCGGUACAGUGAGUUGCGAUAUCGUAAGGUGGAGCGAAUCUCAAAAAGCCGGUCUCAGUUCGGAUUGGGGUCUGCAACUCGACCUCAUGAAGUCGGAGUCGCUAGUAAUCGCAGAUCAGCAACGCUGCGGUGAAUACGUUCCCGGGGCUUGUACACACCGCCCGUCAAGUCAUGAAAGUCGGUAACACUCGAAGCCGGUGGCCUAACACUUUUUGUGGGGGAGCUGUCGAAGGUGGGACUGGUGAUUAGGACUAAGUCGUAACAAGGUAGCCGUACCGGAAGGUGCGGCUGGAUCACCUCCUUU